rnacentral:lncRNA from 1 species
UGGGAAAUUAAAGCUUGUAACAUCGGUGUGAAUUAAGCGUAGAAUGAUGGUGGAUAAGAAUUUGGAACACAACAAGAACCGACAGAACAAGUAAAUCUACUCAUCACUUUUGAAAACAGAGACAUCACCUCAAAUAUCAACCCUAACCACAAAAUAGGAAAUAAAAUCUUUAUAACAAAACAUGAAAAAACUUUGUAUUAUAUAAUUUCAUAGAUACAAACACAGUAGAAGGAGAAAGCUGACCAAUCAGAUCCACUGACAAAUAGAGAUUAGAGAGAUGUCUUUUGUACAUUUGAUUUGUGCCCUUUUGAGUAAAAAAUUAGGGAAUUAAAAAACCUAACUUGAUAUAGGAAUAGUUUUGUUAUCUUUUUAAAAUCCAAUUAUACACAUUUUGAAAAAUAAGCAAACUUUACCAACUACAUUUUCGUAAGUUACAAUUAUAUGUAAUGAAAUUAAAUUUCAGGAAAAUGUAGGAGUUGUGCAAUGAAAUGUUUUCGAAUAAGUCUUUUGGAGAGACAUUUCUAAGACAAACAUUCGUCCCACCCAACGCUGCAAGCCCCCAAAUCAUGCACCAACCAUUGCAGUGAAACAUUGGAACGGUCCAAAGAUAAAUAGGGAACAAACUCAUCUGGUGAAGCAAAAAAAUAGCGAUGGUAUUGAGAUACGCACCUCUGUGACUGUAAACAACUCAUUUGGGUCACGACGUUGUACCUGAAGUACAGUUAAUACUAAUAUGAUCAAAUUAUGUUCUCGACCAUCUUAUAGCAAAAGUGCUAUCCCCACUUUUGAGGAGACUUUCAUAAUCGUGAUUGCAAGGUUUUAAGUUUUCACCAACAGGGGAUUCAUCAGUUUGAC